rnacentral:lncRNA from 1 species
GCUCAGAUAUUGAAUUUGGAACCCUAGAAGUGGUAGAUUAGAUCUAUUAUCAAAUAUUAUUUUUGGUUCACAUGCUUGUCAUUUUUUAUUUAAAUUUCUAUGCAUAUAAACUCAUGUCAUAAAUAUGUUUAUAGGAGUUUUAAAAUUAGAUCUUAUGCAUAUAUUUAUAGAUUAAAUAGUUUAAUCUAAUGUUCUUCUGCUAAAAAAUUUUUGAAAUGUAUGCAUGAAAUAUUGAAAAAUAUAUCCUAAAGCCAAUCAUCAAAGUGGUAGAUGAUUGGAAUUAGUAUAUGAAUUAUCUAAUAAUAAUAG